ACUGAGAUUGAUUCUGUCUUUUAAAAUUAAUUAAUUUUAUUAAUAUUAAAUACAAGUUUUUGCGUGUUAUUAUUUAUCUUAAGGAUAAAAUCGAUUAUUUGUAGUUUUUAAUUUUGGGUUUUAUACAUAAUUGUAGAUUCAGUUAAUUAGUUUAGAUCUGUUUAAAGUUGUGCCAGCAAACGCGGUUACACAUCUAGGUCAAGUUAAUUUUUUUGGUUUGUAUUUAUUAAUUUUUUUUAGAUAUUUAAUUUAUUUUUUAAGGUGAAAUUUUUAAUUUAGAUUAUAUUUUCUUGGUUUAAGAUUAUACGAAAUUUGGGUAAAAGACUAGGAUUAGAUACCCUAUUAUUCCAAAUGUAAAUUACACAACCAUAGUACUAAUAGUUACGAUCUUUAAAUUAAAAGAAUUUGGCGGUAAUUUAGUCUUUUCAGAGGAACCUGUCCUGUAAUCGAUGAUCCACGUUAUAUUUAACUUUAAUUUUGUUUGUAUAUCUCUGUCAUUGAAUGUUUUAAUAGAAUAUUUUCUUAAAUCAUUAAAUUUGAAAAAUGUCAGGUCAAGGUGCAGCUAUAUUAAAGGUUGAGAUGGGUUACAUUUAAUGUUAUUUAUUGGAUUAUUUUAAAUUGGAUUAUAUUAAUAUCAAAAAGGAUUUGAAAGUAAUUAUUAUUAUUUUUUAAUAAUGAUUUUAGCUCUAGAUUAUGCACACAUCGCCCGUCGCUUUCAUUAAUAAGGUGAAAUAAGUCGUAACAAAGUAAUUUUACUGGAAAGUGAAGUUAGAAAUAA
rnacentral:ncRNA from 1 species